GACGAACGCUGGCGGCGUGCUUAACGCAUGCCAGUCGAACGGAAAGGCCCUGCUUGCAGGGUACUCGAGUGGCGAACGGGUGAGUAACACGUGGGUGAUCUGCCCUGCACUUCGGGAUAAGCCUGGGAAACUGGGUCUAAUACCGGAUAGGAGCCAUUUUUAGUGUGAUGGUUGGAAAGUUUUUUCGGUGUAGGAUGAGCUCGCGGCCUAUCAGCUUGUUGGUGGGGUAAUGGCCUACCAAGGCGGCGACGGGUAGCCGGCCUGAGAGGGUGGACGGCCACAGUGGGACUGAGAUACGGCCCAGACUCCUACGGGAGGCAGCAGUGGGGAAUAUUGCACAAUGGGCGCAAGCCUGAUGCAGCGACGCCGCGUGGGGGAGGACGGCCUUCGGGUUGUAAACUCCUUUCGCUAGGGACGAAGCUUUUUGUGACGGUACCUAGAUAAGAAGCACCGGCUAACUACGUG
rnacentral:rRNA from 1 species